rnacentral:tRNA from 5 species
GGGCCUGUAGCUCAGUGGUAGAGCAAACGUCUUAUACACGUUCUGUCGUAGGUUCGAAUCCUACCAGGCCCA